UACAGAGGGGGCGAGCGUAUUCGGAAUUAUUGGGCGUAAAGGGCGCGUAGGCGGCCUUUCAAGUGACGGGUGAAAUCCCUCGGCUUAACCGAGGAACUGCCUGUCAGACUGGAAGGCUUGAGACCGGGAGAGGUGAGUGGGAAUUCCCAGUGUAGCGGUGAAAUGCGCAGAUAAUCAGGAGGAACACCGGUGGCGAAGGCGGGUCUCUGGGCCGAUACUGACGCUGGAGGAGCGAAAGCGUGGGGAGCGA
rnacentral:rRNA from 1 species